GUAGGUGAACCUGCGGAAGGAUCACUAGCAGAGGUAGUGGUUGGGGGGGAGUAGUGGGGGGAGUGGUGAAGGUGGCGAGUGGGUGGUAGGUGGCUAUACGAGUUAUUUACAGACGAGUAUUUCUAUCUAUCGCUUGCAUCUACAACACUGCGCAUCCUUCCAUUCUCCGCCCCAUCGCCACACAUUCACGCGCUUGUUUGUUUGACUGUCUAUAUCAAUUAUUAAAAUACAACUUUUAACAAUGGAUCUC
rnacentral:misc_RNA from 1 species